rnacentral:rRNA from 1 species
UUGGUGCCUUCGGGAACUGUGAGACAGGUGCUGCAUGGCUGUCGUCAGCUCGUGUUGUGAAAUGUUGGGUUAAGUCCCGCAACGAGCGCAACCCUUAUCCUUUGUUGCCAGCGGUUCGGCCGGGAACUCAAAGGAGACUGCCAGUGAUAAACUGGAGGAAGGUGGGGAUGACGUCAAGUCAUCAUGGCCCUUACGACCAGGGCUACACACGUGCUACAAUGGCAUAUACAAAGAGAAGCGACC